CCUACGGGAGGCAGCAGUGAGGAAUAUUGGUCAAUGGACGAGAGUCUGAACCAGCCAAGUAGCGUGAAGGAUGACUGCCCUAUGGGUUGUAAACUUCUUUUAUCUGGGAAUAAAAUGUUCCCCGUGUGGGAUUUUGUAUGUACCAUAUGAAUAAGGAUCGGCUAACUCCGUGCCAGCAGCCGCGGUAAUACGGAGGAUCCGAGCGUUAUCCGGAUUUAUUGGGUUUAAAGUGAGCGUAGGUGGAUUGUUAAGUCAGUUGUGAAAGUUUGCGGCUCAACCGUAAAAUUGCAGUUGAAACUGGCAGUCUUGAGUACAGUAGAGGUGGGCGGAAUUCGUGGUGUAGCGGUGAAAUGCUUAGAUAUCACGAAGAACUCCGAUUGCGAAGGCAGUUCACUGGACUGCAACUGACACUGAGGCUCGAAAGUGUGGGUAUCAAACAGGAUUAGAUACCCUUGUAGUC
rnacentral:rRNA from 1 species